UGGAUCCAGACUUUGAUUCUGGCUCAGGAUGAACGCUAGCUACAGGCUUAACACAUGCAAGUCGAGGGGAAACGACAUCGGAAGCUUGCUUUUGAUGGGCGUCGACCGGCGCACGGGUGAGUAACGCGUAUCCAACCUGCCCACCACUUGGGGAUAACCUUGCGAAAGUAAGACUAAUACCCAAUGACGUCUCUAGAAGACAUCUGAAAGAGAUUAAAGAUUUAUCGGUGAUGGAUGGGGAUGCGUCUGAUUAGCUUGUUGGCGGGGUAACGGCCCACCAAGGCAACGAUCAGUAGGGGUUCUGAGAGGAAGGUCCCCCACAUUGGAACUGAGACACGGUCCAAACUCCUACGGGAGGCAGCAGUGAGGAAUAUUGGUCAAUGGACGAGAGUCUGAACCAGCCAAGUAGCGUGCAGGAUGACGGCCCUAUGGGUUGUAAACUGCUUUUAUAAGGGAAUAAAGUGAGUCUCGUGAGACUUUUUGCAUGUACCUUAUGAAUAAGGACCGGCUAAUUCCGUGCCAGCAGCCGCGGUAAUACGGAAGGUCCGGGCGUUAUCCGGAUUUAUUGGGUUUAAAGGGAGCGUAGGCCGGAGAUUAAGCGUGCUGA
rnacentral:rRNA from 2 species